GCCUGGGUGGCUCAGUUGGUUAAGCAUCUGACUUUGGCUCAGAUCACGAUCUCACAGUUUGUGAGUUCAAGCCCCUCAUCGGGCU
rnacentral:tRNA from 1 species